CGGGUCGAGAAGGAGCCGGGUGAGCACGUGCAACGAAGCCCAGCCCUAUAGGCGGGGCUCGGAUGGGGCGGAGUUCGGAGGUAUUCACUAGGGCCUUCCUCCGCGGCUUCGGGACAAAUUGGACCCGAGAUUAAAGGACCGGAGUUUAACUCGAGUUUCCCGGAUUUUCCAAAGCCUGCUGCUCGCGGCUGAGCCCAUCUCCUGCGGACACCAGGUGGCGCGCGGACACCAGCCUCUGGACCUGCCGGGGCGUCUGCCUUUGGCCACCGUCUCACUGAAGGACUUCGCGGCUGCCGCCCAAGGUCUAAGCCCUACCUGGCCUGCUUGAAGACAAAGAACAAGAACACUAACGUCUUGCCCGCCUCUACCCUGCCUGGUUAUGCCGCGGUUUCCUCACUGGCUGCCCAUUUCCCGCCCUUUCUCCACCCCGCCCCACCAAUCCUUUGGCUUGUCUAUGUCAUUCCUUAAUUUUCAAAAAGCCCUCAUCCUGA